GGCCUCCAAGCUGAGAAGACAUUUGCUGGGAAGAAGAUGAGGCAACAGGAACCCCAUGGAAGGGAGGGGUGGAGCGGAGGCAAGCGCCACAGAAGAAACAUCCCAGGAAGCAGAAAGCAGCUUGGGAAGCCCUAGUGAAGGCAAAGGCUAGCUGCCUGGAGAACUGAAGACUGGAGCCAAGAUUUAAGGAUGAAGGAGUUCAAAGACAAGGGGACUCAGAGCAACCAGAGCCACUGGUUUCAAGAGGAGCCAAGCAUAGUGCAGACAGUAGUGGGACUGAAGAACUGCUGCUGUCUUGUUUCCUGCAGCCUUCGGGCGUCAGAUUCCUUUCUGGCUCUGGAGAAGGUCUGAAUGCCAAGGAUGGACUGUGACCAUCUGGUACUUUGGAGGAGCUGCCGUUGGAUCGUGACGACAGCACUGGGCUAGGAAUCAGGAGUCCCAUUCCAGUUCUUGCCUGGAUUCCUGGCUGUCCCCAGUUGGUUACUUGGUCUCUUUGGGCCUUGGUUUUCAGCUCUGGAAUUGGCACUAGAU